rnacentral:rRNA from 1 species
CCAGGUGGCCAUACCGGCGGGGCCACACCCGUUCCCAUUCCGAACACGGCCGUUAAGCCCGCCAGGGCCGAUGAUAGUCGAAAGGCGAAAGUAGGUCGCUGCCUGGA